AUUUCAUUGCUGAGUGAUAUUGCUUUGUUUGUGAAUUACAGUGCCCCUGAGCUCCUUUCUUCAACUCGCUUUCUUGUGAGCUGGCCGCAACACCGCAAGAUUGCUUCAGGCCCUAAUCUGGUUCCGGUACGGCACGCUGAGCCUUUGGUUAAUUCCUCUUCCUGUUAGAAUCAUCGUACCUGAAUCCACUCAUUAUGCUGCUACGGGCC